CCUAGACGCUGCCUCCCUUCCAGAAUCCCAGACAAAACCUCAGAAUUCUGGAGCACCGGGCUGGCAGUUCACCAGCACGUUCCUGCCGGAGAUCUCAGGGCUCUGAGACGCACCAGAGCCUGGCCCUGGCCACAUGCAAGUUCAGAGGCAUCCUCCAGACACCGGCUCCCCUGGCCACCCGGCCUCUCCACUUCCCUGGGUGCUCAGCAGCCGGUAUCUCUCCCCCCACCCCCCACCAGGGAGCGGUGCAGGAACCCGGGACUUAUCAAGACAAAGAACAAAAGUCGUGGGGGAAAGAAGCCAAGAGCCAUCUCCACUCUGGGGUAGGGCCCUUCAGUUUCGCCCCUUUGAAAUUUCAAAUUCCAGUUUGUGGACAAAGUCCUAACUUUCCCACAAUAUAGGUCCCCAACCACUGACCAAACUCCAGUCCAGACAGCCAGCAGGCCUGGGGCUGGCGGGGUCGGCUGCUUCCCUUGGCAGCUUUCGAGUUCCAGGGGGAAGGGUCCUGGGCCAAGUGGGGUCUGCCAGGCCAUCGCUGCAGCCCCAUCCCACCCCACAGGGCCCCCUGCCUCCUGAGAGGGCAGCCCUCCUCCUGGAGCUGGGAUCUGACGCUUGCUGGUACCGACGGAAGACACCAGGCACGUGGCCGGAUCCCACUUUCUUGCCUCCUUUGAAGUUAGAUGUGACCAUGUGACUUGUCUUGGCCAAUGAAAUGUGAGUAGAAACCUUCUGCGUCACAGCUGGGCGGAAGCUUCACCACCCGGCGCUGGGGCUGUUGCGGAAGCAAGUGUAGCUGUGGGGUCACCUGGAUGAGGCGAGCACCCUGCCGCCCCACGACGGACUCGUUCUAUGAAGAGACUGAGGGUCAGAGAGGUAAAGUCAUGUCCGACAACACAGAGCUUGCGUGGCUCUAACCCACAUCUUCCUGGCUCUGCGAAACAAGUUCUCAGCCACUGCCAUAAAGGCCCCACCAUGUGAACCGGGUCUCCAUCACUGUCAAGAUUCCUUUUCCUCCAGGCUCCCUAAGUCCUUCAGUAUUCUCUCAUCUCCCCAGAGAAGCUGUAGCCGUUAUCUCUUCUGAAAACAAAGUGAGCCCCUUCACCAUACAAGGACCCGUGUGCCUCCUUGAGAGUCAGUCUACGUUAUCUCUAGAAAAACCAUGACUUGCCUGGAGAAAGGAGAAAAAAUAAGCCUCUCUCCACCUCAACUCCACCCCCCAAAUCACCGGAUUUGGGGUCAAUUCUGAGGGGCUGGAGACAGAAGAAUGGCUGUGUAAUAAAGUUUCAACUUGACUAUUGUUUUAUGUGACUAUCUGAUAAAGAAAACACAAUGGCUGCCAGAUGGGGGCUGGGAGGUGAGAUUUCCCAAGUGGAAAGUUCCAGAAGACAGGCCUGGAGCUCUGGAGCCUGGGUCCUCCCGACAGACACACAGGCAGCAAGGGUGGGGACACCAGAGAUAAUAGUGGGGUCGCGCAAAGACCCAGCGAGGGACAUAAGCCGGAGAAUGGGAAAGGGAGGCAGGAGUUUGCCUACGUAGCCGUGAGCUUGGUCACUGCUGUCGAAACCAAGGGGCUACAGCAGCACUGCCCAACAGAAGUAUAACGUGAGCCACACAGGUGAUUUUAGCUGUUCUGAUAGUCCCAUUAAACAAUAGUAAAUCUAUGAAUGAGGAGAUUGCUCUCACAAAUAAUGAGCUUCCCCUUGGUCUUAGCCAUCAGGGGUCCCAAACUCAAGGGCCCACAAUACCAAGAUAAGUAUAUGGAGCAAAUUUCACACUUUCCUGUAAGAAAGACAAAGCAGCAAACAUAAUGGUUUAUGUUCAUUAGUAUAACUUCAGUGUAGGACAUUAAGGAAUGGUGGGGACUGUGGCAAAUUAGAGAAAGCACAUACAGUCUAAAUUAGCUCCAGUGGAGUUUUUGCCUCACGGGUAUAGAGAAUCAGUGUUGCUACAGCUUCCCAUUUUUUUGAAAGGAAGCUGGAAAUCUGGAUAUUUAAAAGUUAGUAAUUAAUUCCAAUUUUAUUAAAAAACAAAAUUGAGUGGUCUGGAUUGCAAACUGUGAUCUCCUUUAAACCCUUGACCAUGUUUUACAGAGGAGGAAACUGAGGUUCAGAGUGGUUAAAUAUUUUCUCAACUCACAGCAAAGACAACUGGAUCUUCAGGUCAUUUCUGCUACUUCUGCUAAUAACCAUUUGUUUUUUCACUAUUCUUAUUGAGAAUUUACUAGGUUCCAGGUUCUGUGCUGAACAUAUGGCACCAAGAAGGAAGUACUAUUUAUGAUGCCGGUUUUGGAGAGGGAAACCAGGGCUCAGAGAGGUGGAGUAAAUUGCCUAAGAUCCCACCGUGGGGCUUGAACCUGGGUCUGUGUUUGAUUAUAAGACUCUAGAUGCUCCCUCUGGCUACCCCCUCCCUGAAGAACCUCAGAGACCAAGGAAGCUGGUUGUGUUGGCCCGGGGCCUACUCCAAAGGGCGGGGCCUGGGUGGGCAGCGUCCCUCACCUCCAUGCUUGCUUUCCGCGGAGCGCUUCCAUUGUAUCGUUCCUGUGAACUGGCUUCCAGGCAAGAUUUUGUUUGACGAAAGAACGCCGCUCCCGUUGUUUUUUUUUUUUUUAAUUUGAAAACCACUGAUCUGCUUAUGGCCCCUCAGGAGAGGAAACUGAGGCCCAGACCAGAGGCGGCAAGUGCCUGAGUUCCCUCUACAAGUCAGGACCAGAACUGGGACCAGAAGCAGGUCCUGGAGGCCCGGGCCUGCCUGGGAAGCGGCCCGCUGGGUGUGCCAGGGCCCCUCCGGCUCCUCUGGGCUCUCUCUGCGUCUCUCCACCUGCUCCGCCCUUCCUCACGCCUGUUUGGAUAACUUUUUGACCUGUUCCUUCCCAAGCUCCCCCUGAGGUGUGGCUGCCUCUGCCGCUUGUCCCAGAGGAUCCUGGGCCUCGGCAGUGUGGCGGCCCAGGCUUGGCCGGUCCCACGGCAGACAGUUGUCAAACAGCGGCCGUCUGGGCAGGGGGAGGCCUGUUUACCCAGGGCAGGGCCCAAGCAGAGGCUGCAGCUUCCUCCCCAACCAGCGGCCCAUCCAGCUGCUCAGCGUACUGACUCAGCCGUCCCCCUCUGUAUUUGCUCAUUCCACAAAUAUUUAUGGAGCGCCUACUGUGUGCCAAGCGCCGUCCUACAUGCUGAGGCUCUAGCAGGCAACACCGUGGCCAGGUUCCCUGCUCUAAUGGAGCUUACAUUGGCGUGGAGGAGACGGAUGAUAAACAGAUCAAGGCAGGCACAAUUCCAGGGCUGCAGAGGAUCACAGGACCCAUAAUGAUGGGUGGAGGCAGAGAAGUCUUAGAUUUGGGUGGUCAAGGAAGGCUGCUCCGAGUGGGGAACAUUCGAGUUAAGACCCCAACUAUGAGAAGAAAUCAGUUAUAGGAAGAGCUAGGAAAACGAGGUUCCUGGCAGAGGGAACAGCAAGUACAAAGGCCCUGAGGUAGGAAUGUGCUUGGCCUGAUUGAAAAAUAGUAAAAAGGCCAGUGUGGCCGAAGUGGAGCAAGCAAAAGGGAGAAAGACAGGAGACCCAACAGAGGGGCAGACAGGAGUCGGAUCCCGUGGGGCCUUUUAGGGAAAAGAGCUGGGGUUUUCUUUUCUGUAUAACACACAGUGGUCAGAAGAUGUCCAGCACAGAUUUUAAACGUGAUUGCAUCCUGAACUUCUCCUGUAACUUUAACUCUGCUUUUUCCCUCUCUGGCUUUCUGUCCCAGGAAUUUGUUCUUAAGUACAUUUGAGGGUGUUUGAAAUAGUGUUUAAUUAUUCCCUUUUCCAUUUUAAUUUAAAAUUCUUUCAAAAGUUUUGUCAAAGCUGUAUGGAUAUGCAAUAGCAAAAAUCAAAUACUUUUACGAAGCUGAUGAUAAAUAGCAGUAGUCGCCUGCCCACGCUUUUCUGAACCUGAUUCCCACCAAUGAGAGGCAACUACUUACAACUGUUUUAGUUGGGUUGUUCCCCCCCCCGGGGUUUUCCUCUGGAUUUCUAAAUAUCAUGGUUAUACUGCUACUUCUUGAUUUCUCCGUUUUAGAUGGAAUGUGUUAACUUGCUAAUAGGAACAAUCCUGUAUAACUAUUUCCCAAUUCGGAGAUAACUCAAUACUUGUUGUUUCCAUUUGCCUAAGCACAUUACUGUUAUUACUAUUAUUCACAGCUGACACGGGCUGUAUAGGAACCAAGGCCUUUCCGUGCGUUAUUUCAGUUAUUCUUCACAAUCACGCUAUACGGUAAGUGUUGGUCAACAUAACAAUCACACUAACACUUUGCAUCCAGUGUAACCGUUGGCAGUUUGCGGAAGACCCUUGCACCCACCCCCUUGAUCUGCAGAGAGAUCCUGAGAGGCAAGCAGAACUGGCAUUAUUAACCCCAUUUUCGGAGGAGGACGUGGAGCCCAGUAUGACAAAGAAAAUUCUACCUCUCACAGCGGGGUGCAGUGGUUAAAAAAAACCCAUCUUCCAGCCAAGGUGGAAGGAGCUGGGGUCCCUGUGUGAAGGAGAUUAACUCUCCUAUCUUACAUUUUGGGUUAGUUUGUUGCAUCCACUGGUGUUGCCCUUACUAACAUAAUGCUUGGGUUCGAAUCCUAGCUCUGCCUCUCCUAGGCUGUGUGGUUUGGGGUAAGUUAUUUAACCUCUCUGGGCCUUUGUUACCUCUUCUGAGAAGUGAAUAUGAUGACAGCACCUACUGCAAUGGGCAAUGGUGAGGACUAAAAGAAGUAAUCUUUAUAAAGUGCCGAGAACAGCAUCUAGCCCGUGGUAAGUCCUAUGUAAGUGAUCAAAUAAACCAGAGCUAGGAAAUGAAUGAGCCAGGACCCUGAUCCGGGCCUUCUGAUGCCAAUGUCAGCAUCUGGCCCAAAGCGCCGGACAUUUGCAUUCCUCUUUACAAUUUUUCCUGUAUCUGCCUAUUACCCGUACCUUUAUUUUCUGUUGUUAUUUACUUGAUAUUUUUCUUUCCUUUGAAGAAUACAUUAAUUUAUUAAAGGAUAUUUUAUAUUACUGCUUUAAUAUGCUAGUUAUAAAUUUUUCUAACACGCAGUAAAAUGAAUUCAAUAAGAUUUAAAAGUGUUUGUCCAUGUACUAGCUACAAUCAGCUCCUCUACGCUGUGGGGACACCUGAGGAAACGUAUGCUAUUUUUAAGUCUAUAAAGAACCUUUGGUGGAGCCGGCCCCGUGGCCGAGUGGUUAAGUUCGCGCGCUCCACUUUGACGGCCCAGGGUUUCGCCGGUUCGAAUCUUGGGCGCGGACAUGGCACUGCUCAUUAGGCCACGCUGAGGUGGCAUCCCACACAGCACAACCAGAGGCGCUCACAGCUAGAAUACAUAACUAUGUACCGGGGGGCUUUGGGAAGAAGAAGAAGAAGAGGAAAGGACCUUUGGGAACAUUCUACCCAGUGGCUUUUAAACCCUUUUGAGCACGACCCUCAGUAAGGAAAACAUUUUAUGUCACAUACUUUAUAUACAGCGGCAAUAAAGGGUGGCAGUCAAAACAAAGACUCGGGAGCCCAGGUGCCUGGGCUGGAAACUCAGCGUCCCCUCUGAGUGCCCAUGUCACUUUCGCUGAGUGCCUCAUCCUCUCUGUGCCUCCGUUUCCUCAUCUGUACAAUGGGAAUGACAAUAACAGCACCUCCGAGAAGGGUCACUGUGAAGAGAAGGCGUUAAUA